rnacentral:tRNA from 1 species
CAGAGCAUAGCUAAACACAGAUAAAGCGUCUCCCUUACACCGAGAAGGUAUCCGUGCAAACCGGAUUGCCCUGA